GCAAACCUUUGGAGCUCUGUAGCAGACCCACCAUAAGCACUCCACCAAUCAUCUAAAAUGUAAGGCACAUUAACAAUUUUAUAAAGCUUGCAAGGAAAGAUAACAUUGGAGUUGAAAAAGAUAGAAAGCUGUACCAUUUCAGGGUUGAUAUUUUCUUCCCAAAGCUACUUUCAGUGCUCUCAUAUUGAUCAGCUUGGUCACUCACCUUGGUGAUCAAUUUGUCAUUAUCAACAACCAUUUUUUCAAUCACAUCAUUGAACAUCGCCCGUAGACUAGAAGCAUAAGCAGGAUCAUUAACUUUGAUGUCAAAAAAUUUGUUUGGAUUCAGGAACAAUGCAGCCCCAUAUAGUUUUUGCUCCAUUUGGUCUGACCAACGCAGCUCAAUAAUAUCAAUCAGUUGCUUGAAUA